rnacentral:rRNA from 1 species
CUGCUUCUACUUUCUGUAUGGAGCUGGGAGCGUCUGCCUGUUGGACGCCCGAAGAACGUCAGGUUUGAUCCUUGGUAUGCAGAUGAACAUGAUGAAUUACGGCGCCCCACGUGGGCUUACAAGUGGGAUAUUGUUUCCGAGAUGGCAAACGAUGUCAAUCUCAUGUAG